rnacentral:rRNA from 1 species
AUGGCCGAACUACUCCGCAAGCUACAACAAGAGAUCAGGCGGCACUGCACGAAGAGUCACUCCCUUGUCAUCACCGAGCAGGACCUCCCGGCAAUGGAGCACCUUAGGGCCGUCAUCAAGGAGACGAUGCGGCUGCACCCGCCGGGGCCUCUCCUUGUCCCUCGCGAGUCCAUGCAGCACACAAAGGUUCACUUUUACGAUGUCCCGCGUGGGACAAGAAUCAUUGUGAAUGCAUGGGCCGUCGGCAGGGACCCGACGGUGUGGGAUAACGCCGACGAGUUUCGACCAGAGCGGUUUGUCGACAGCGAGGUGGACUUCCGUGGGCGGCGUUCUCAGCUCAUACCAUUUGGCGCAAGGAGGAGGAUGUGCCCUGGGAUCGGGUUCACGACAUCCGUCGUGGAGCUGGCACUAGCGAACCUGGUGGGACAAUUCAACUGGACAAUUCCUACGUUGGAGAAUAAGGCGUCGGCGGUGGUGGACAUGGAGGAGGCCCCUGGGAUCACGUCACGGAAGAAGGUGCCACUGUGUGCCGUAGCGGCACGGCCGGCGUAG